UCGUAUACGUGAGCAUCGAAAGCCAUCAGCAGCUAUGGAGACACUGCCACCACGUUCUUCCAUGUAUGGGGAAAGGCCAGUUCUUGCUCAAGCUGUGGAGCAACACCAAAAGAGUGUGCCUUCGACAGACAUGGAAAAUUCUGGAAGUAACAAGAAUCCUAUAAGGUUGCAUCCUAUAAGGCUCAGCACCGUCUACACGCAAGGGGAGCUAAGUAUUUUCCCACCAUCUUGCUUUACUGGUGUUACAGAAAAAAGUGGAAAUCAAGGUUGAUACUUUUUGUAAUGACGUCACAAGUGACACAUUCCCAGAUGAGAAAUGUCUGCAGUCUCAAGUGGUUUAUGAAACAUUUUCCUCUUGCAAACAACUUAUGUAGUACAAAUGAGGGAAGAGCCGGUGGAUGAGAGCUGCCAAUAUUUUAAACAGAGACUGCUCUUUUUGGCACAAUCUACAUCCUUGCCAUGGCACAUAAAAAUAGGUCAACAAAUGCUGUUUUCAGGAAAUUUUUUCUUUUUGUUUUUUGUAUUGUUGGCCAGCAGGUCGGUGGAUAGGACAGAUCUUUUCAAACUUUAAUGACAUAGGUGCUUUGUUAGAGUGUGCUGGUGGGUUAUGUCAAGGAACGUUUCUUUACCACAGAGCCGUUACAGAGAUACGAAGGUUAAAAUGAAAAGUAACAACCACAGGAUAAGACCAAGUGAACAGGUGGACAUAGACGAACAUUUCAAAUGAGGAGGGCAGGGGUUACUCUGAGAAGUGUCUAGAGCAUGGACACAUUCUGUUGCCCCUCUCCUGUGUGCUUGUGAUGCUACUUUGGAUCUGCUGGCCAGCCUGCCAGCACUUUAUACAUCAACAAUAACCCAUGUCACAAUAAAAGGGAAAUACAUGGCCCUGCACCUGAAACUGUGAAGUUGAACAUGGUGGACAAUGCAGUGACAAGGACAAGAAACACACACACCAUUCAACUAGCAACUGAUUUAUUUGGAGGCAGAAAUCUAGUCCAAAUAAAUCAGUUGCUAGUUCAACAUUAUCCGUGUUUCUAGUCCUUGUUUCUGUGUGUUCUCCAUCAUGUUCAGUCGUACCUGACAUGCUCUACACAUUCUUGCACUGUCAAGUUCUUAGAAUAAAGCAAUUUCUCAGUCA